UAGCAUGGAAUAAUGAAAUAGGACGUGCGGUUCUAUUUUGUUGGUUCUAGGACCGCCGUAAUGAUUAAUAGGGACAGUCGGGGGCAUCAGUAUUCAAUUGUCAGAGGUGAAAUUCUUGGAUUUAUUGAAGACAAACUACUGCGAAAGCAUUUGCCAAGGAUGUUUUCAUUGAUCAAGAACGAAGGAAGGGGGAUCGAAAACGAUUAGAUACCGUUGUAGUCUCUUCUGUAAACUAUGCCAAUUGGGGAUCGGCACAGGAUUUUUAAUGACUGUGUCGGCACCCGAAGAGAAAUCUUUAAAUGAGGUUCGGGGGGGAGUAUGGUCGCAAGGCUGAAACUUAAAGGAAUUGACGGAAGGGCACCACCAGGUGUGGAGCCUGCGGCUUAAUUUGACUCAACACGGGGAAACUCACCAGGUCCAGACAUAACUAGGAUUGACAGAUUGAUAGCUCUUUCAUGAUUUUAUGGGUGGUGGUGCAUGGCCGUUCUUAGUUGGUGGAGUGAUUUGUCUGGUUAAUUCCGAUAACGAACGAGACCUUAACCUGCUAAGUAGCCAGGCCGGCUUUCGCUGGUCGCGGCUUCUUAGAGGGACUGUCAGCUCUAGCUGACGGAAGUUUGAGGCAAUAACAGGUCUGUGAUGCCCUUAGAUGUUCUGGGCCGCACGCGCGCUACACUGACGGAGCCAGCGAGUACUUCCUUGGCCGAAAGGCCCGGGUAAUCUUGUUAAACUCCGUCGUGCUGGGGAUAGAGCAUUGCAAU
rnacentral:rRNA from 1 species